rnacentral:rRNA from 1 species
CCUACGGGUGGCUGCAGUGAGGAAUAUUGGUCAAUGGACGAGAGUCUGAACCAGCCAAGUCGCGUGAAGGAAGACGGCCCUACGGGUUGUAAACUUCUUUUGUAAGGGAAUAAAUAGUCUUACGCGCUAAGACGUUGCAGGUACCUUACGAAUAAGGAUCGGCUAACUCCGUGCCAGCAGCCGCGGUAAUACGGAGGAUCCGAGCGUUAUCCGGAUUUAUUGGGUUUAAAGGGUGCGCAGGCGGCAUGUUAAGUCGGCGGUGAAAUUUUGCAGCUCAACUGUAAAAGAGCCUUCGAAACUGGCAAGCUUGAGUGUGGAUGAAGUAGGCGGAAUUUGUGGUGUAGCGGUGAAAUGCAUAGAUAUCACAAAGAACACCGAUUGCGCAGGCAGCUUACUAAACCAUAACUGACGCUCAUGCACGAAGGCGUGGGGAUCAAACAGGAUUAGAUACCCCAGUAGUC